GUUCUCCAAGGGGAACCGCAGUCCUGGGGACGGGAGUGUCCCGGCUGCCCCGGGGAGGGCUGAGGGCCAGCUGUUCCCCAAGGGAGGAAUAAAACCAAUGGCAAAAGGAGGAUUUACUGGUGAUCUUGUGCUGUUCUGCUCCCAGGGACCUGGAAACUCGGCCUUUGCUGCGCUGGUCGCCCUGCGACUGAAUCAUCCAUAAGUAUCAAUAUAAACAAAGCUGAGCCAGAAGUGCCUAAAGAGGAGCCAGAAGAAGUAAGACAGGUGCAAGCAGCAUGUGUGGAAACCCCGGCGGCGGGCAGUUCCUCACCGCUCUGCGUGGAUGCCCAGGUGCAAACUUCCAGUCCCGAACUGCAGAAGACACCUCCUGUGCUCUCACUAGCAGUUGCUCAGGUGCAAACCUCAGCACUCACAGUC